GACGAACGCUGGCGGCGUGCUUAACACAUGCAAGUCGAACGGAAAGGCCCUGCUUGCAGGGUACUCGAGUGGCGAACGGGUGAGUAACACGUGGGUGAUCUGCCCUGCACUUCGGGAUAAGCCUGGGCGAGUGGGUCUAGUACCGGCUAGAAGCCAUAUUUAGUGGGAUGGUUGGAAAGUUUUUUCGGUUUAGGGUGAGCUCGAGGCCUAUCAGCUUGUUGGUGGGGUAAUGUGCUACCAAGCCGGCGGCGGGUAGCCGGCCUGUGAGGGUGGACGGCGACCUUGGGACUUACAGACGGCCCAGAUUCCGACUGGACGGAGAUGGGGGGAAUAUUGCCCGAGGGGCGCAAGCCUGAUGCAGCGACGCCGCGGGGCGUAUGACGCUGUUCGGGUUGUAAAAUCAUUUCGCUAGUGACUAAGCUUUUUGUGACGGUACCUAGAUAAGAAGCCCCGGCUAACUACGUG
rnacentral:rRNA from 1 species